rnacentral:rRNA from 1 species
CCUACGGGAGGCAGCAGUGGGGAAUUUUGGACAAUGGGCGAAAGCCUGAUCCAGCAAUGCCGCGUGAGUGAAGAAGGCCUUCGGGUUGUAAAGCUCUUUUGUCAGGGAAGAAACGGUGAAAGCUAAUAUCUUUUGCUAAUGACGGUACCUGAAGAAUAAGCACCGGCUAACUACGUGCCAGCAGCCGCGGUAAUACGUAGGGUGCAAGCGUUAAUCGGAAUUACUGGGCGUAAAGCGUGCGCAGGCGGUUUUGUAAGUCUGAUGUGAAAUCCCCGGGCUCAACCUGGGAAUUGCAUUGGAGACUGCAAGGCUAGAAUCUGGCAGAGGGGGGUAGAAUUCCACGUGUAGCAGUGAAAUGCGUAGAUAUGUGGAGGAACACCGAUGGCGAAGGCAGCCCCCUGGGUCAAGAUUGACGCUCAUGCACGAAAGCGUGGGGAGCAAACAGGAUUAGAUACCCUGGUAGUCCACGCCCUAAACGAUGUCUACUAGUUGUCGGGUCUUAAUUGACUUGGUAACGCAGCUAACGCGUGAAGUAGACCGCCUGGGGAUACGGUCGCAAGAUUAAAACNCAAAGGAUUGACGG